GGAGGCAGGGUGGGGAAGCGGGGGGCGGGGGAAAGGGAGGGCGGGGGGCGGGGCCAGGAUGCGGCCUGGGGGGCUGGGGACCAGGACCUGAGCGGGAAGGCAGGACCCCUAGUGCCCAACCGGGCGUUGGCUAGUAGGCAAGACUAGGACCGGAAGGCAGGAAGAGGCCCGUUCCAAGGACGCUCGGCCUUAAGGGCAUGGAAGUCUGUGGUCCUGACAAGGGCCCACAGGUUUGUGAGGAACUUGAGUCCAAAGGUUACGUUCUUUCGAUUCGGCACCACCUUCCGCGAUUAUUCUUCCUGUUUUUGCAGUGUUCUGGGGUUGCAGAGCUUUUCCUGAGGCCACAACCCAGCCACAAUCCUAACCUUACCCUGUUAGACUUCACCAUCAAGGCGUCUGGAAGCCUGGGAGUUUAGAACGCGAAGAGCCUUAAAUGCCUUCUCUAAUCCCUGCAUUUCUGUUCGAGGAAGCUAAAGCUUCAGUGAUGAAAUGGUUUGUGUAGACAGCCCAUAUCGAAUUGGCUUGGCCCAGAACUACUUUAUCUUUGGAGGAAAAACAACUUGUGUUAUCUUUUCAGCAAUUAAAUAUCACAGAGCGAUUUCUUAAGCAACCUCUCAUCAUGUGAUCCGCCCUCUUUCCUCCCUGACCACAUCACCUAUUACUGGGCAUUUCUCCUAUAUUGAUGUUCUUUCUCCUCUUAGAAUGUAAGCUCCGUCUGCCUGAAGUCUGGCACUUGGUUGGUAUUUGCUGAGUGAAAGAAUGCCUGAUUACGCUAGCAUUAAGCAAUAUUUUAGAGAGAAAAAAAAAGAUGCUCUACAAACUAGAGAGGAAUUAUUAACAGGAUCAUUUUAUUUACAUUAAUAAAUGCCUCAGCUCUGAGACUUCUGAAACUUCAAUGAACAUAUGAACCACUUGUGGAUCUUGUUAAAAUGCAGGUUGAUUUAACUGGUCUGAUUCAGCUGGGUCUGGAGAUUUCUGCAUUUGUAACAGAAUACACAGAGAAUGCCCGGGGCCUCUGACUCUGAGACCAUACUUUGAAUAGGAAUGCUUCAGCUCCAUCUAGACCAAGUUUGGGGGAAUAUUUUGCUUGGUAUUUAUGAUGCCCACUGUCUUAGUCUGUUUGGGCUGCUUUAACAAAAAACCACAGACUGAGUAGCUUAUAAGCAACAGAAUUUUACUUCUCACAUUAUGGAGGCUUGAAGUCAAAGAUCAAAGUGCCAGCAUUAUCAGGCACUCUUCUGGGUUAGAGACUUCUAGUUGUGCCCUCCCAUGUUGGGAGAGGGAGAGAACUCUGUGGAGCCUCAUUUAUAAGGGUGCUAAUCCCAUUCAUGAUGUUUCCAUUGUGAUUUAGGCACCUCCCAAAGGCCACAUCUCCUAAUACUAAUACAUCUCCUAAUACAUCUCUAACUCCCCUUUGGGAGUUAGAAUUUCCACAUCUGAAUUUUGGUGGGGGUGGGGGGGCGCAGACAUUCAAACAUUAGCACUCACUAUAUGAAAGGUACCUAGUCAUUGCAAGCAUGCAAGGAUGAAUAAGAACUGAUCUUUGCUGUGUAGGGGUUUAUGGAGUAGGACAAAACAUAAUCCAGUUCGGUAACUAUUUUUUAGUAGCCAUCACUGGUUGGGCUAUCCAUGAAAUGGACCCAGCAGGGGAGAUUAGCAUGCAAAACAGGCUGUUGUGUGCUCUUGGGAUCAACCUCUGUGAAAGGGAAGGGGAGGAAACAGGAUUGAGCAGAGGGAGAGAUUGAUCUGUGAUGUCAUCCUAACAAAGGCUUCAGGGGACCUCUGGGAGCUGGGAUGGCCUUUGAGAGGGAGGGAUCAUGAGUUGAUAUGAGUGGUUAGGCCUUCACCUCCCAACAUUGAUUGGUUGUUGGAUACACACCACCCCUGGAAGGAGACGUGAUUUGAGCUUGUCCAUUUCUUUAACUGAGGCAUUAUCCAAAGAGGGCUGACAGUUAAAGGGUUUUGCCAGCACUACUCCCAGCAGCAAGGAGGGAUGGCGCUAAGUCUUCUGUUCCUAAAGGGGGAUAUGAUCAGAGCUUCAAAGUCAGCAUCCACCAUAGUACCUAUCCUUCUGAGGCACCUUGCUAGUCGCUUGGAGACUAAAGACGUUUAUUAAUUCACUAAAUAUUAUUGAGUGCCAUUAUGUCUAUGCAACCCUGUUAUGCACUGGGAUACAGACCUGAAUAAGACCGAUAUGCCCCCCGCCCAUGGUGCUUACAGUCUAUGAGCGAUUAAACAAGCAUUGAUCAAACUAUCACAUAACUAAGUACUAAAAUUGUGGUCAUCCUUAUCAAGGAGACCAGUGGGUUUACAGGUGAGUAAACAGAAACUUAGUUUAGACUAAGUUUGAAGGAAAUUCUCUCUUAAGGAAGUUAUAAUCAUGACCUGCAAGAUAAGAGGGAAUUCAUUUGGACAAAACUGGGGCAUGGGGACUCACAGGCUAGUAUGAGAGGUAAGAGGAUGAUCAGUAAAAUAUAUUUUAAAACCCAGUAUAUAAAUCUUACAUAGCCACACAGAAAGCAAAUGAGCAGUGCCAGUUUCCUUGGUAAAAAUCUUGUGCCUAUCCAAGUAUAUCCUUGAACAUCCAAGUAUAUGUUGGUCCCCACUAUGUCUUCUGGUGAGUUUUUAAAGCCAAAAAACAAAACAAAACCAAACAAACCCAAUGUAGGGUAAGGGGUGAAUAAGUCCAAAGCCAAGUGUGAACUGAAGUGGCACUCAGAAGCUAAGGCUGCAUUUUGUAGGUCAAAACAGGAAAUUAAUAGCCCAAAUAAAAUAAUUUAAGAUGCUAGAACUAUGAUGUAAUGAGAACAGAGGGUGAGUGUGCAGCACAAGCUAUGCACUUUGGGCUCCUGGCAGGCAUUGUGUAUUUCCUUCCUUUUUCCUCUAGAGCAGAAAGGUCUGCCAGUUUCCCUUUAAAGGCCACAAACUUUCCAAUUAUUCUAUGAACUAUUCUAUUUCCAAUUCUAAUUAUUCUAGGAACUAUGGCUAACACUUCCCCACCCUCUCACACUUUACCAUCGCCUCUAUCCUGCCCCUUACCUACGUUUUCACCACAGAACUUAUUACCAUCCGUAUGUGUGUAAAUAUAUAUAUCUCCAGAUAUAUAAGUAUGAAAUGGUGGUAAUCAUUACCAAAGAGAGCAACGAGGUUAUUAGAGCACAGAUUCUCUCUCUCUUCCACUAGAAAGCAAGCUCCUUAUUUUCUUCACUGCUAUACCUUGAGAAGCACCUAUCACUACACAAAUAUUUAUCGAAUAAAUAUAUGAAUGACAAAGCAAGCUUGUGAAUAGAUGCGGGAUUAGAACAGAUACAGUUAAAUUUAUGGUUGAUUAAGCUAUAAUUGGGUCACUGAUGAGAAUUUAGACCAUUUGUUCUUGCCCAGAACACAGCCCCCUUCCAAGGAAGGCUGUCAUGUUACAUCUAAUCCUAUCAUAUCAACCCCUGACUCAAAGGCAAUUGUCCAUAGACUGCAAAGUCUUUUAGUAGAUAGCUUGUCCUGAAGCAUUGCCUAAGAGACGCCAUAUGUAAGAUGGUGACUGUGGCAGAAAUUGUUCACUAGCUGAGUGCUAAUAACGUUUCUCAGUAUCCUUCUACCUUUCCGUCUUCUCACAGAGGCUAUAAAACUCAAUACUCACCUUCCCAACCUUCAUGGCAGCUACGUGUAGUCACGUGACACAGUUCUGGUCAAUAAGAUGUAAGCAGAAGCCUGUGUGUGUGCAUGUGAGCAUGUGGUGGAUGCAAAAGGAGAACUUGCUAGCCUUGACCCUUCUCCAGUCUUCCUGCCUGAACUGUAGACUCAUGAUACAGUAGUCCUCCUGCAACCACGAAGCAACAUGAUUGAGGAUAAAAAAGCCAACAGCUAAAAAUGGAAGAAUAAAAAGAAACCUUAAGGAGUCAAUGUUAGCAUCAAGCGGCUGGACCAAUGUCUGCAACCACCAACCUCUGGACUCUUGUUUUAGGGAAAAAAUAACAAAACCCUAUUGAUUUAAGCUUGAUUCUUAGUCUGGCUGGAAGGACCUUGAAGGGGACAAGAAAUUCUUUCUUCCCAGCAGUCCCAGGGCACCCAGGCGUUGGCAUGUGAUGUGGGCAGAACUAGGCCUUCCUGUGGCCAUUUUGGGGGUACUUGGCACUGAGCAGGCAGAGAAAGGAGGUAAGGACUGGCCCAAAACGGAAUUCCCAGAAGGAGGCCUGGGAGAGUAAGAGACCUGACGACCUAGCCAUGCCUCUGGGAAGCAAAAAGGCAAAUUAGGAAAAUCCGCUUCAAGAAGAGGACAGUUCGUGUCCAGCACAGUUUUUGCACACGUUCUAGGCACAGCACCUCAGGAAAACUGGAAAUCAGAGGAGACAUUCAGGAGGUGAAUGGGCCCCAUGUCUGACUGAGCGAGGACGAAGACAAAACCCUUGUUGGCAGGGCUCAACCUCACGGGAAACCGAUUUCGAAUUUCUCUCUUAUUAGUGCCUCAAAAUUUUCGGCAACUCCCUAGUUUCAUUACAAAAUGGUGACUGUAAUGAUGACUGUAUUAAAUUUAUUUUUAUAUUUCUUUUAGGGAAAGGGAUGAAAAUUCAGAAAGAAUAAUCUGUUGAUGGUAAAAAUUGUUCUCAUCUUCUCUGUGGAAGAAUUGCGGGGGUUUUAAAUCAGAGCCCAGAAGUUUAAACAGCUACUAGCAAUGAAUUUCCUUUUUAGAAAGUGUUACAUUGUAAUCAUUACGUCAUUAUCACUUCAAAAGGUUUGCUCUUUCAACUUUGUGGUUUAAAAUGUGUGUGUUAAUUUGUCAGCAGUGAAAAGGAGCUGGGGAGUUCGCUGAACUGUAAUUGUGGUUUUUAGCGAGAAUACUGGGAGAAUCCUCGCAUUGCUUGAGUCCGAAUGAACAUCAGCAGACUCUUCUCUUUUCAACGUACGAGACUGAAACACAAAAGAGACUGGGCAUAUGAUCCAUUUUUAAGUGAUGAAGAUUUGGAUUUAAAAAAUCUGUAAACCCAGUCCCUUUUUCAGGUUAGGGAACAAGAAGGAGAAAAAGGUCAGAAGACGUUUUAAGAGUCUAGACUUGCCAACAGCUACCUGUGGCUACCGAGCACUUUUAAUGUGCUCGGAUUCGGGCACGAAUUCUGGAUACGGACGACUCAGUACAAAAGGAAAAAGUAAAACAUAUCAUUAAUAUUUUAAACGUACGGAUUACACGCUGAAUGAUCAUGCCUGGAACAUAGCGAGUUAAUAAAGGGUUCUCAAAAUUAACUAUACCUGUUUCUUGGGGCACCUGGGUGGCUCGGUCGGUUAAAUGUCCGACUCUUAUUUAGGUUCAGGUCAUGAUCUCACUAGUGAGUUCCUGAAUUCGAGCCCUUUGUUGGACUCCACACUGACAAUGCAGAGCCAGCUUGGGAUUCUCUCUUUCUCCCUCUCUCUCUGCCCCUCCCCCAUUUUCUCUCUCUCUCUCUCAAAAUAAAUAAAUGAACUUAAAAAAAUUUACACCUGUUUACUUACACCUUUUCAUACUUAUUUAGUGUGGCUAUUGGAAAAUUUAAAAUCACACACACACACACACACACACACACACACACACACACACACGGCUCACACUAAAAUCUACCUGACUAGCAGCGCCUGGGUGAUUCAGUUGGUUAAGCGUCUGACUCUUGGUUUGGGCUCAGGUCACGAUCUAAGGGUCGGUCCCUGAGAUUGAGCCCUGCAUCCAGCUCUGUGCUGACAUUGCAGAUCCUGCUUGGGAUUCUCUCUCUCUCUCCCAUUCCCUCUGCCCCUCCUCCCUCCCUCUCUCUCUCUCUCUCUCUCUCUCUCUCUCAAAAUAAAUAAAAAUAAAA